UGCCCCGCCCCUGCCGCACCACGUGCCGGCUCGGCUGGGCAGGGCUGGGAGGAGCAUGGCGGCCCGCUACGACCGCGCCAUUACCGUGUUCUCCCCGGACGGGCACCUCUUCCAAGUGGAGUAUGCCCAGGAGGCGGUGAAGAAGGGCUCCACCGCCGUUGGGGUUCGAGGGCUGGACAUAGUUGUCUUGGGGGUAGAGAAAAAGUCUGUUGCCAAGCUUCAGGAAGAAAGAACUGUAAGAAAGAUAUGUGCACUUGAUGAUCACGUCUGCAUGGCUUUUGCAGGUCUGACUGCUGAUGCCAGAAUAGUAAUUAAUAGAGCCCGUGUGGAGUGUCAAAGCCAUAAACUUACUGUUGAGGAUCCAGUCACAGUAGAGUAUAUAACACGCUAUAUAGCAACUCUAAAGCAGCGUUACACACAGAGCAAUGGACGUAGACCAUUUGGUAUUUCUGCCUUGAUUGUGGGCUUUGAUGAUGAUGGUAGUCCCAGACUGUACCAAACAGAUCCAUCUGGCACAUAUCAUUCUUGGAAGGCUAAUGCAAUUGGUCGCAAUGCUAAAGCUGUGCGAGAAUUUUUGGAAAAGAAUUACAAAGAAGAAGCUAUAGCAACUGACAGGGAAACUAUCAAAUUAGCAAUAAGAGCGUUGCUAGAAGUUGUGCAGUCUGGUGGAAAAAACAUUGAACUUGCCAUAAUCAGGAGAAAUCAACCACUGCAGGUAGCCAAACCACAAUUCUCUGCAGAAGAGAGAGGCUUUGUAGCAGGAUACUGAGUGAACAUAGGACUCCCCUUUGAAGAUGUCAUGCACAACACAUUCCAAAGCACAAGAUUUUUAGUGCAAAGGACAUCGAAUCACAAGUUGCUGAAAUAGAGAAAGAAAAAGAAGAAUCUGAAAAGAAAAAGAAGAAAAGUAUUUAAAUUUCAGUGAAAAGAAGAUAGCUGCUAUUGAAAUGUUUCUGGAGUUGUAACAGCUGCUAAUUGACAGUGUUUACCAUUGCUGAAUAAUCUUAUCUAUUUAAUUAUUGAAUACAUUAGUUUUCUUAAACUGUGUUACAGAUGUAUUAAAUCCAGUGUGCUUGUUGUAUUCACCACCAUGUGCAUACAGGAAUAUAUUUGCAUUUUGCUGUUCCUCCAGGUUUAAUGUGUAUUCAGUAUUCAAAGGCAUUGGCACAUUUCCUGUACACAAAUUAUCACCAAACUAUUUGGCAUAUCUCUGUACAAGUUAUUUAAAGGUUUCAGGUUUUCUUCUUGUGUAAGUUUUUGCAAGUCUAAUAUUUGUUUGCUUUUACUAGCAUGAUACAUAUUUAGUCCAAUAAAAAUUAAGAAUUAAAUAAAGUUUUGAUUUGUUCUGACUGGCUCUUUUGCCU